CAUGCAAGUUGAACGGUUCCUGAAAAUUGGGACAGUGACGAACGGGUGAGUAAUUUACAAGAAUCGACACCUAGGAGGUGGAUAACACUUGGAAACGAGUGCUAAUACACCAUAAAGCUAUUAAGUUAAAGAUACCAAUCGCCUAGAUACGAGCUUGUAACUGAUUAGCUUGUUGGUGAGGUAAUGGCUCACCAAGGCUUUUAUCAGUAGCUGGUCUUAGAGGAUGUACAGCCACACUGGAAAUGAGAUAUGAACAGACUCCUACGGGAGGCAGCAGUGAGGAAUUUUCCGCAAUGAGUGAAAGCUUGACGGAGCAAUGCCGCGUGGAGGAUGAAGGCCUUAGGGUUGUAAUCUCCUUUUCUCAUUGAAGAAUUUUUGACGGUAUUUGAGGAAUAAGCAUCGGCUAACUUCGUGCCAGCAGCCGCGGUAAUACGAGGGAUGCAAGCGUUAUCCGGAAUUAUUGGGCGUAAAGAGUUUGUAGGUGGUCAAGUGUGUUUAAUGUUAAAUGUUAAAGCUCAACUUUAAACCUGCAUUAAAAACUGCUUGUCUUGAGUAUGGUAGGGGUAAAGGGAAUUCCCAGUGUAGCGGCGAAAUGCGUAGAUAUUGGGAAGAACACUAAACAGCGAAGGCACUUUACUAGGCUAAUACUGACACUGAGAAACGAAAGGUAAGGUAGCGAAACGGAUUAGAUACCCGUGUAGUCUUACCCGUAAACUAUGGACACUAAAUGGUACUUAAUGUGCUGUUGUAGCUAACGCGUUAAGUGUCCCGCCU
rnacentral:rRNA from 1 species